rnacentral:rRNA from 1 species
GUGAUCCUGCGGGAGACUGCUGCUAUCAGAAUUCGACUAAGCCAUGCAAGUCAGGUAGUAAUACCGGCAGACUGCUCAGUAACACGUCGAUAAUCUUCCCUUAAGUCUGGGAUAACCUUGGGAAACUGAGGCUAAUACCGGAUAGAAGAAUAUGUCUGGAAUGACUUUUCUUCCAAAGCUUCGGUGCUUAAGGAUGAGACGGCGACCGAUUAGGUUGUUGGCGGUGUAAUGGACCACCAAGCCUUGGAUCGGUAGGGGCCAUGAGAGUGGUAGCCCCGAGAAGGACACUGAGAAACUGGUCCUAGCCCUACGGGGUGCAGCAGGCGCGAAACCUUUACAAUGCACGUAAGUGUGAUAAGGGAAUUCUGAGUGCUCAUGCAAUGCAUGGGCUUUUUUUUCAAGGGUAAAUACCUUGGAGAAUAAGUGGUGGGCAAGACUGGUGCCAGCCGCCGCGGUAACACCAGCGCCACGAGUGGGAGUCGUGAUUAUUGGGCCUAAAGCGUCCGUAGCCUGUUUGGUAAAUCUUUUGUGGAAUUGUUGGGCUCAACCUAACGAAGUGCAGAAGACACUGCCAGACUUGGAACCGGGAGGAGUUAGAGGAAUUUUGGGGGGAGCGGUAAAAUGCUAUAAUCCCCGAAAGACCACCUGUGGCGAAGGCGUCUAACUAGAACGGUUUCGACGGUGAGGGACGAAAGCCAGGGGAGCGAUCCGGAUUAGAUACCCGAGUAGUCCUGGCCGUAAACGCUGUGAGCUAGGUGUCGCACAUUCUACGUGAAUGUGCGGUGUCGUAAUGAAGAUGUUAAGCUCACCGCCUGGGAAGUACGGUCGCAAGACUGAAACUUAAAGGAAUUGGCGGGGAGACACUACAAGGGGUGCGGCGUGCGGUUCAAUUGAAUUCAACACCGGAAACCUCACCAGAGUCGACGGCAGGAUGAAGGUCAGUCUAAAGGGCUUACCUGAUGAGCCGAGAGGAGGUGCAUGGCCGCCGUCAGCUCGUGCUGUAAAGUGUCCUGUUAAGUCAGGCAACGAGCAAGACCUGCGUCCACAAUUGCUAACGAAUUCUCCGGAAUGAUCGAGCACAUUGUGGGGACUGCUUUCGAAAGGAAGAGGAAGGUGCAGGCAACGGUAGGUCUGUAUGCCCCGAAUACUCUGGGCGACACGCGCGCAACAAUGGUAAGGACAAUGGGAUGCGACACCGAAAGGUGGAGCUAAACCUCUAAACCUUAUCCAAGUUCAGAUUGAGGAUUGCAACUCAUCCUCAUGACGAUGGAAUCCCUAGUAAUCGGAAGUCAUCAGCUUCCGGUGAAUAUGUCCCUGUCUCUUGCACAUACCGCCCGUCAAACCAACCGAGCCGGGUCUAGGUGAGGCUCAACUUUUUUGGUUGUUUCGAACCUGGGCUUAGUGAGGUGGGUUAAGUCGUCACAAGGUA